GAGAAAUGAGGAAACAAACUUUGUCUUACUUCUACAGUGAAGACUUCAGAUCCAACUCUGAUCUCACACUGAUC
rnacentral:snoRNA from 1 species